GUCUUGGUGGUGCAAUAGCUAAGCACUUGGCUGCUAACCGAAAGGCUGGUGGUUCAAACCCACCCAGUGUCU
rnacentral:tRNA from 1 species